ensembl:lincRNA
UUAAAGGAUAGCCUCUCGUGGGAAACCAGCCACCAUGGGAUGUUCACAUGAUGGAAGAAAUGAUAAGCUGAUGAAGGAAUAUUCAGAGCUACAGAUAUACCAUGGGUACCCUCAAAAAGUUAUGCUGAGGAAGAAAACCCUGGAUAUAAACUACAUCUUUGUGAUUUUCUACAUUUCCCAAUUUUUUACAGUGGAUAAGAAAGACACAUCAAGAAAAAAUAUCUUGUUUUGUUGUUUUUAAAGAAGAUAUUUUUCAGAAGAACAGAACUUAGAAAUGUAGCCUUCUAAAAAAGUUGUAGGUGAUUCUAGAGCUGCCUUCUCUGCCAUGUGGCUCAUGCAAAUUUCCAUGUGGUGUAUUUCACUCCAUAUUUUGAAGGCUUGAUAUAAGAAAGAAAAGUAAGAUGUCUUAACAAUUUUAAUAUUGAUUUUUACAAGUUGAAAUGAUAAUGUUUUGGAUAUAUUGGGUUACAUAAAAUAAAAUUAAUCUCACUUGCUUCUUUUUACCUUUUAAAAUAUGAUUACUAGAAAAAAAUUAAGGAGUAAAAGGUAUUUUAAUAAGUUGAUGCUGUAUUACUGUUUCAUUUCUCAGAAAAAUUCCAAAGAUAUCAGGGACAAAUCGAACUUGGCAUGCCAGUUAAAAAAAGGACAGCAUAACUACCUAAGUGUUUUGAAUUUUGAAAAAUACAGAGCAGAAUCGAAUUUCUACAGUUUGUGGAAUGGACUCUAUCUACAAGUUAAAGGGGGUUCAGAGGCCGGCGAUGGAUGGGUAUUUAAGAGAGUUUCCUGGACGUGGUGCUACAUACACUGAAUCUGGAAGGACAGUGAGCUUUUGAAAAAUGUAAGAACAUUUUUCAGGCUCUCAGCCUUGCUAGUGUCCCGGGCAGAAGAGACAUACGGAACACGACAGCAGGUGGCUGAGAACCCAAACGUGCCUGUCUUACUGCCGUCCACAUGGAUCACUGUUUAACCUCUUGGAGCCUUGGUUUCCUCCUCUGGAAAGCAGGGAUAAUAAUGCCAACCUCAGUGUGCUGUUGCAAGGAGGAAAUGUGAUAGUUUCUGCAAAGUACUCAGCAUUACAAAAGCACUCCACAAAGUGACUAUUAUUACUGUCAUUAUUACUAAUGGAAACUAGAGCUGUUUUGGCAAAGAGAGGACCAAAACCUGAGAGUUUGGGAAACCACUCAGAGAAGUUAAGAAACACGAAGGGCACACGGUGGAUUAAAGAGAAGAACCAGCG